rnacentral:rRNA from 1 species
UACAGAGGUCUCAAGCGUUGUUCGGAUUCAUUGGGCGUAAAGGGUGCGUAGGCGGCGCGGUAAGUCUGAUGUGAAAUCUCCAAGCUUAACUUGGAAAUGGCAUCGGAUACUAUUCGGCUCGAGGAAUGGAGGGGAGACUGGAAUACUUGGUGUAGCAGUGAAAUGCGUAGAUAUCAAGUGGAACACCAGUGGCGAAGGCGAGUCUCUGGACAUUUCCUGACGCUGAGGCACGAAAGCCAGGGGAGCAAACGGG